rnacentral:lncRNA from 1 species
ACUGUUUGAUGGUAGAUUAUCUUCUUUAUCUUCAACUGAAUGCCAGAUGGACAGGCACAAUCUUCACCCUAGAGGUAUACAGCUUCUGAGGAUCACGGGGAUGAAAGGCAUGAACUGGGCUCACACAGCUAAUGCAUUAGGACACCAGAAAAGGAAGAAAAGACAGUGGCAGCUGAAGACAUUUCAGGAAUGCUUCACUGAGAACCUAAGUCUUGUUCUGGGCCAUAAAGAAAAGGGGAGGGUGUGGUUUCUAUACCAGAGAUAAGAAAGGAGAAAAUUGGACGUGGAGGAAAGAUAUGAGUACCAAUCCGAGCGAACAAGGAAGAGUGAGUAAAUCUGUCCAGCUGGAGUUGGAGGUACAUUCUGGAAAAUGGUGAGAGAGGCUGUGUAGGGUAGGGGGACACGGAAAGAUGGGCCAAGACAUUUGGAGCUGAUAUUUGAUAUGGUUUGGCUGUGCCCCCACCCAAAUCUCAUCUUAAAUUGUAAUCCCCAUAAUCCCCACGUGUCGAGGGAGGGACCCGGUGGGAAGUGAUUGGAUCAUGGGGGCAGUUUUCCCCAUGGAAUUCUCGUGAUAGUGAGUGAGUUCUCACGAGAUCUCAUGGUUUUACAAGCGUCUGGUAUUUCACCUGAUUGCACUUCUCUCUUCUGCCUCCUAGUGAAAAAGGUGCCUGCUUCUCCUUCUGCCAUGAUUAUAAGUUUCCUGAGGCUUCCCCAGCCAUGCGUAACUGAGUGAGGACCUAGAAUUUUAAUGUCUAAUAUGCGGUGUGAAUUAAAGAAGCGGCCUUGCUAUGCUGACCUUUUCAAUAUUCUAAUCUUUGCUUUGCUGACCUCUCAGGCCUCUUCCUGGCAACAGUUAGGCUUUUGAGAGGAGAGAGAGCUGAGACUGUUGGCUCCUUCCCAUUUAUGAGAGAGCCACAUGACAUCAGCCCAUAGACUGUGGAGAGUAUUCCAGAUCUAUCACAUUCUGCGAUUCUGCGAUUCCCAGAAGGCUGGUCAUGAAAAAAUUCCCUCUUCAGUUUACAUAUAUGGCAGUGAUGCACAUUGUUCUUUUGGUUGUGAAAAAUUCGAAGAAGUAGAUGUGGUCCUGGUUGAUGGAUGAACAUUGAGGCCCUCAAGUGCAUAAAGGCACUUCUAGAUAUCUGUUGAGGCCUGGAAGGGGCAAAACAAUUCAGGAAGCAGUUGAAGAUAAAGGGGUUUACCAUGGAAGAGAAGAUCCAGGUGCCUUCAUGGAAAUGCUUGUGGUUGAAAAGAGAUGAAGAUGAGGGUCCCUGGAAAGAGGAAGAACCAGCCAGGAAAAUUAUACCAUUAGCAAGACUGGCAUCAGCAAGUAGUUCGCAGUGUUGGUUGUUCUUGGUUUCGCAGGAUUUUAUAGGAGUUCUGAACACUGGGAAGUCCAAGAGCAAGGCAACAACAGAUUCAACAUCUGAUGGACCUUCUCCUAAAAGUCUUAUCUUCUAAGUCUCCUAAGUCUUGGACUUUUCAAGGCCAAAGAUUUAAAGGCCAAGUGGACCAUACGGGAGAUCUAGUUUCCCAUCCAGACAGCCAAGCUCAUGCAUCCCUGGAUUUGGAUGGAUGGUUUCCCAUGGGGCCUUGGACAGAUUGGACCCAGCACUGGCACAGGGUUGACUUGGAGGAAUAAGCUCCUGGAAACCUCAAUUAGCGUUUGGGGUAUGAACAUUAAACAAUACUGAAUCUGGAAACAAUACAUCACACAGCGGGUCCAAGGAAAUAAGCAGAAGGCUGGCAGCAGGCCAGGGCCAGGGGCCAAAUCGCUCCUCAAAGACAAUUCUUCAUGGAGAAAUGACAGCAGGUUUGAGGACAGCAGAAUUUCGCUCUUGUUGCCCAGGGCUGGAGUGCAAUGGUGCAAUCUCGGCUCACCACAACCACUGCCUCCUGGGUUCAAGCGAUUCUCCUGCCUCAGCCUCCUGAGUAGCUGGGAUUACAGGAAGUACAAAAACAUCCUUGCCGUUUGCUGGAAUGAUGUACUGCUGAAGGCAAUGGACACUGGGGUUGUUUGUCCCUAAUCACAAGUGAGCAAUACCAGAUCUAUUAUCUCAGGUUCAGAGAAGUGAGGUGUCUGACCUUCAGACAGGAUUGAAUGCAGAGUAAAAUAAUUCCAAAUAUGGUCUGGGCAUUGCAUGUAAUACAGAGUAAAAGUUAUUGUAAGACACUUUCGCCAGUUUCUGUCACUUGGUUCCUCAAAUGUUUAGUUCAUUCUAAUUACAUAAUCAGCCUUCUGAUUCAAUGAAGACUGAUGGGAUUGCUGACUUGCCACCCUGGAGUUCAGUUGGCAGCAAGUGAGGGAAAAGGUGAACUCUGUAAACAAGGUUUAGAAGCCCUUUUCUUAACUCUUUAUAAAACAGAGAAGAUGAGGAAGGAGAAAGGCACUGUCAUUAAGCUCUUAGCCAGGGAAUUACACAUACACACACGUGUGUGUGUGUGUAUUUCAACUCAAUGUACAAGGACUUCUCAGCCCAUAGCUACUUUGAACACAUUGUUUAUCCCCCAUAGCAUGAAGGACUAAAGGAACCAGAGAUUUCAUAAUCUCUGGCCUGUAACGUUUUUGCUGAAAUAUCUGCUGUUAUUCUAAUGGGGUUUCCUUUAAAGGUGACUAGUCACUCUUCUUUUGCUAAUUAAUUUUUUUUUUCACUUUGACUUUAGACAUUCUGAAUAUAAUAUGCUAUGAUGAAGCACUUUAUGCAAUGUAUAUUCCUGAGGAUUGCUGGGCCUCCUGUAACUAGAUGUCUGACUCUCUUGCUAGAUGUGGAAAGUUUUCAUCAAUUAUUUUCUUAAACAGGUUUUCUAAGCUUUUAAAUAAUCUUUCUUUCCCAUCAGGAAUACCAAUAAUUUCUAAUUUCAGUCACUUUAUGUAGUCCCAGACAUCUCAAAGGCUUUGUGCACUCCCUUUUAUACUUUUUUGUUGUCGUUAUCUUUGUCUUACUGGAUUAUUUCAAAAGACUUAUCUUCAAGUUCUGAGAUUCUUUCUUCUGCUUGAUCUAUUCUGUUAUUGAAGCUUUCAAAUACAUUUUGCAUUUCCUUCAAUAGUUUUUUUAGGUUUAGAUUUUCUGCUUUUGCUUUAUAAGAUACCCAUCUCCUUGAUACAUUUCUCAUUAAUAUCCUGAGUUAAUUUUCUAAUUUCUUGAAGUUGGCCCAAGGGUGGAAUGCAGCCCCGUGUUAAACUCUCAAAACUGUGCCUUGGGCCUGUGACCAGACAGAGCAGAUUUCUUCUCAAGUAAGUAGCAUAGAAAAGAGAGAUCCAAAUAAACACAAUCAUAAAUGAAAAAGGAGACAUUAUAGCUGAUAACACAGAGGCACAAAGAUCAUCAGAGACUAUUAUAAAUAACUAUAUGAUCACAAACC